GGUUCCCACCUUGUAAAUCCUGAGCAUCUGUGAAGGCUCAGCAAAGCUCAGUGCUGGAACCUCUGUGUGCACACACUGCAUUCACUUCUCCAGUUUGUAAAUAGAAUGGACUUUAAUUAAGAAAUGUUGAGACUGAAAUUCCCCAGUGACGCUGUCAUCCAGGAGCUCCAUUACCCUUGCCAGGUUUUUUCAGCUGCACGUGCUACCUACAUGCACUUUGUCUUUGAAGGAGACGAGAGCACGGAAAUCCCAUUUUUCAUGCUCCCCAGCUGCACGGGCAGUAUUACAGUUCCACCUGUGCUGGCAGGGUUUUCCUGUUUUAGAAGAUUAAUUUUGUUGAGUAACUCCAAGUUCCUCUAAAAGAAACAAUUUUCCUUUCCUGUAUGGCAAGAGAGAUUGCAAUCUUCUGAGGCUAUAAACUUGUUUAUGUCUAACAGUCAAGCAUUCAAAGGUACCUAAGUGCUUGAGAUUCAGUUCCCUUGCAUGGAUGUUAAUUCGAGCGGCUGCUGUGACUUCUAUUACCUCUUUUAGAGGUUGU
ensembl:lncRNA